UUUUGUUGGGAGAAAAUGAUAAUUACUUCCCUUCAGCUCUUAAAAACGUAAACAAUUAAGCUUGUAGAAUAUAUUGUGUAUCUGGAGAAAUGGUAUAUUUUCAUGCUUUAGACUAUGACUGUUGUGAGAGCUGACACCACCUUCACAAGCGGGAACAAGACGAAGCCACAUACAUUUGGUACAGCAGAAGAUUGUUACUCAUAUUCUGGAAGCUGCAAACGAAUAGGAACCUUUCACAUCGACACGCUGGGCACAGGGAUGAAGUUCUCCACUGAUCUUAAGUGGACUAGAAAAGGAUACGCAAGCAAACUGCACAGUGUAGCCCGGACACAGAAUGGCGCCGUCAUUGAUCUGGUGUGUGGAGGCUGGUGAGGGGGAUGCGAUUCUGAAGGAGAGAUGAUCCUCUACCCAAAGAAUCUGGAUAUUCAGCCUUAGGUCUACCCGUUGUGUGGAGGAUUGUGUGGAUUGUUUUAAGUUUAAAUCCGCAAAUUGAAACAUUAAGUAAACCGAGAUAUCUGUAAGUAAAAAAACAAUUUAGUGUGAAACCAAUAACCAACAAACAAAUGGUACACAAUCAACAAUUGUAUUAUCAAAUGAACUAGGUUUACAAAUCUAUACAACUUACUGCACAGGAAUUACAAUGGCAGUAUACAAUAGAAUGGUAGUACAAUAUUCAGUAGCACUAUUUAAUAUGAUAGCAGUGGUCAAUAUCGAUUAUAAAAAUGAAAAGUGAUCUUCACACGAGAGUUGGUCUUGAUGUUAUGUCAGAUGAAAUGUGAGAUGAGACAGGGACGAGCCCUCUAAACGAAAAUAGACUGACCAGCUGCCAGCACUUUCUACACAGUGCUAGGCCAGUCCAAUGCCACUGAAACUGUAAACUGCAGAGUCGCCAUUUGUCGCAAAGAAAAAAACAGCGGAGGCAGCUUGAGUGUAAUUAGCGUUUCCUUUCCUCUCCAAUUAUGAACUAUCAAUAAUGCAAGUUCGCCAACUAUGUUUCACUCCGGACAUUUUAUAUUUAUUGCAAUGGUCAUUAUGACUUAUUUGAAAUGUAUUUGGGUGUACAUUUUAUAUGUAUAAAAGACUUAAUGUUAUGAUUGUCAUAAGAAGAAUGUGCACACACCGAUAACCAUAAAGCAACGGCAUAGCUGUCUUAAAUGUUGCCUUCUAUUUCCGCGUGUUCUAUCACGGCUUAUCAGAUAUGGCAAUGGGAAUGUUACAACAUUUUCAACAAUAUUCCAGUUUCAAGCCACUUGCUGCAAUAACAUGCGAGACGUGUAGCACACAAUGACACAUAAACCAACCAAUACAUCCUAACUUGAUCCGAUCGGAGUCAACUCUACAAGAAUGGGGAGGUUGGGGUCGAGCCUAUUCUACCUUGGUAUGCCUUUAAGUAUUUGUAGGGAGAAAGUUCUGUUAUACAAUAGAAACAUAGGGCAUAGGUAGACUCACGUUGGAGUGAAAGUGCUUAUCCACACAAAACACAAAAACAAAUAAACAAUAGAAACUGCUUUAGGUUCACAUUGUUGUGAUGUUGACAUGCAUGGUAAUCUUACUAUAUGUUGAUCGACGUAUGUGUUUUAAUGCUGUUCUGUGUACCUGUUUCCCCCAAAUGCUGUGCAUAUUGACGUGUCUCUUAUGGUGUCACUAAUUUUGAACGGACAAGUUAGUUUUAGUUUGAAUAAUAUUUAGAAACAUUACACUAAUGAUGGACAUACGAAGAUAUAGGUUGUUCAACUUCUAUGCUGUAGAUGAUUUCAAAGAGUGUGUUUGUUCCAAGAAAAAAACAAUUUCACCACUUUUACUAAUCAUUCACUAUAGAUGUUUAUCAUCAUCACAAAAUUCAUUCCUUUAUUGUUUUAAUAUAUAAUACAUUAUAUAAUUAAGAUUUCAAUUUUGUUCAACAACUUGUUUGCAAUAUCCACGAGAGUUGAGAUAUAAUUGGCCAGUAUGUCAAAAGUCACGGUUAACUAAUAAGAAUCUGUGAUUCACAUCGACACGCUGGGCACGGGGAUGAAGUUCUCCACUGAUGUAAGUGAUUCCUUUUCGCUAGCGUUUUAAAUAUGCAUGAUGUGUUAAAGUGAAUCGUCGAUAACAUUCAAAGAACAAAGAACAACCAUUGUUUUUUCGUAUAAUUAAAUGAUGACCAUUACUAUCUUGAUAGUAGCAAAGUUCGUUCAUACUUAUUUUGUAAAACGCAUCAAAGUAAUACCAUUCAUAUCCAGCUUAAGUGGACUAGAAAAGGAUACGCAAGCAAACUGCACAGUGUAGCCCGGCCACAGAAUGGCGCCGUCAUUGAUCUGGUGUGUGGAGGCUGGUGUGGAGGAUGCGAUCCUGAAGGAUGGAUGAUCCUCUACCCAAAGAAUCUGGAUAUUCAGCCAUAGGUCUACCCGUUGUGUGGAGGAUUGUGUGGAUUGUGUUAAGUUUAAAUCCGCAAAUUGAAACAUUAAGUUAACCGAGAUAUCUGUAAGUAAAAAAACAAUUUAGUGUGAAACCAAUAACCAACCAACAAAUGGUACACAAUCAACAAUUGUAUUAUCAAAUGAACUAGGUUUACAAAUCUAUACAACUUACUGCACAGGAAUUACAAUGGCAGUAUACAAUAGAAUGGUAGUACAAUAUUCAGUAGCACUAUUUAAUAUGAUAGCAGUGGUCAAUAUCGAUUAUAAAAAUGAAAAGUGAUCUUCACACGAGAGUUGGUCUUGAUGUUAUGUCAGAUGAAAUGUGAGAUGAGACAGGGACGAGCCCUCUAAACGAAAAUAGACUGACCAGCUGCCAGCACUUUCUACACAGUGCUAGGCCAGUCCAAUGCCACUGAAACUGUAAACUGCAGAGUCGCCAUUUGUUGCAAAGAAAAAAACAGCGGAGGCAGCUUGAGUGUAAUGAGAGUUUCCUUUCCUCUCCAAUUAUGAACUAUCAAUAAUGCAAGUUCGCCAACUAUGUUUCACUCCGGACAUUUUAUAUUUAUUGCAAUGGUCAUUAUGACUUAUUUGAAAUGUAUUUGGGUGUACAUUUUAUAUGUAUAAAAGACUUAAUGUUAUGAUUGUCAUAAGAAGAAUGUGCACACACCGAUAACCAUAAAGCAACGGCAUAGCUGUCUUAAAUGUUGCCUUCUAUUUCCGCGUGUUCUAUCACGGCUUAUCAGAUAUGGCAAUGGGAAUGUUACAACAUUUUCAACAAUAUUCCAGUUUCAAGCCACUUGCUGCAAUAACAUGCGAGACGUGUAGCACACAAUGACACAUAAACCAACCAAUACAUCCUAACUUGAUCCGAUCGGAGUCAACUCUACAAGAAUGGGGAGGUUGGGGUCGAGCCUAUUCUACCUUGGUAUGCCUUUAAGUAUUUGUAGGGAGAAAGUUCUGUUAUACAAUAGAAACAUAGGGCAUAGGUAGACUCACGUUGGAGUGAAAGUGCUUAUCCACACAAAACACAAAAACAAAUAAACAAUAGAAACUGCUUUAGGUUCACAUUGUUGUGAUGUUGACAUGCAUGGUAAUCUUACUAUAUGUUGAUCGACGUAUGUGUUUUAAUGCUGUUCUGUGUACCUGUUUCCCCCAAAUGCUGUGCAUAUUGACGUGUCUCUUAUGGUGUCACUAAUUUUGAACGGACAAGUUAGUUUUAGUUUGAAUAAUAUUUAGAAACAUUACACUAAUGAUGGACAUACGAAGAUAUAGGUUGUUCAACUUCUAUGCUGUAGAUGAUUUCAAAGAGUGUGUUUGUUCCAAGAAAAAAACAAUUUCACCACUUUUACUAAUCAUUCACUAUAGAUGUUUAUCAUCAUCACAAAAUUCAUUCCUUUAUUGUUUUAAUAUAUAAUACAUUAUAUAAUUAAGAUUUCAAUUUUGUUCAACAACUUGUUUGCAAUAUCCACGAGAGUUGAGAUAUAAUUGGCCAGUAUGUCAAAAGUCACGGUUAACUAAUAAGAAUCUGUGAUUCACAUCGACACGCUGGGCACGGGGAUGAAGUUCUCCACUGAUCUUAAGUGGACUAGAAAAGGAUACGCAAGCAAACUGCACAGUGUAGCCCGGCCACAGAAUGGCGCCGUCAUUGAUCUGGUGUGUGGAGGCUGGUGUGGAGGAUGCGAUCCUGAAGGAUGGAUGAUCCUCUACCCAAAGAAUCUGGAUAUUCAGCCAUAGGUCUACCCGUUGUGUGGAGGAUUGUGUGGAUUGUGUUAAGUUUAAAUCCGCAAAUUGAAACAUUAAGUUAACCGAGAUAUCUGUAAGUAAAAAAACAAUUUAGUGUGAAACCAAUAACCAACCAACAAAUGGUACACAAUCAACAAUUGUAUUAUCAAAUGAACUAGGUUUACAAAUCUAUACAACUUACUGCACAGGAAUUACAAUGGCAGUAUACAAUAGAAUGGUAGUACAAUAUUCAGUAGCACUAUUUAAUAUGAUAGCAGUGGUCAAUAUCGAUUAUAAAAAUGAAAAGUGAUCUUCACACGAGAGUUGGUCUUGAUGUUAUGUCAGAUGAAAUGUGAGAUGAGACAGAGACGAGCCCGCUAAACGAAAAUAGUCUGACCAGCUGCCAGCACUUUCUACACAGUGCUAGGCCAGUCCAAUGCCACUGAAACUGUAAACUGCAGAGUCGCCAUUUGUCGCAAAGAAAAAAACAGCGGAGGCAGCUUGAGUGUAAUGAGAGUUUCCUUUCCUCUCCAAUUAUGAACUAUCAAUAAUGCAAGUUCGCCAACUAUGUUUCACUCCGGACAUUUUAUAUUUAUUGCAAUGGUCAUUAUGACUUAUUUGAAAUGUAUUUGGGUGUACAUUUUAUAUGUAUAAAAGACUUAAUGUUAUGAUUGUCAUAAGAAGAAUGUGCACACACCGAUAACCAUAAAGCAACGGCAUAGCUGUCUUAAAUGUUGCCUUCUAUUUCCGCGUGUUCUAUCACGGCUUAUCAGAUAUGGCAAUGGGAAUGUUACAACAUUUUCAACAAUAUUCCAGUUUCAAGCCACUUGCUGCAAUAACAUGCGAGACGUGUAGCACACAAUGACACAUAAACCAACCAAUACAUCCUAACUUGAUCCGAUCGGAGUCAACUCUACAAGAAUGGGGAGGUUGGGGUCGAGCCUAUUCUACCUUGGUAUGCCUUUAAGUAUUUGUAGGGAGAAAGUUCUGUUAUACAAUAGAAACAUAGGGCAUAGGUAGACUCACGUUGGAGUGAAAGUGCUUAUCCACACAAAACACAAAAACAAAUAAACAAUAGAAACUGCUUUAGGUUCACAUUGUUGUGAUGUUGACAUGCAUGGUAAUCUUACUAUAUGUUGAUCGACGUAUGUGUUUUAAUGCUGUUCCGUGUACCUGUUUCCCCCAAAUGCUGUGCAUAUUGACGUGUCUCUUAUGGUGUCACUAAUUUUGAACGGACAAGUUAGUUUUAGUUUGAAUAAUAUUUAGAAACAUUACACUAAUGAUGGACAUACGAAGAUAUAGGUUGUUCAACUUCUAUGCUGUAGAUGAUUUCAAAGAGUGUGUUUGUUCCAAGAAAAAAACAAUUUCACCACUUUUACUAAUCAU